CACUUUCCUGUCACUCUACUGGGAGACACGCUCACUUCCUGAAGCUUCCUCCACCUCCUCCACAUAAUUACCAAUCAACCUCACCAGUGUGUGUCUCUCUUUGUGCUGACUGCUUACGUUUGCUGCGUCUAUGACUUUAUACCAGCAUUAUGCAUCGAUUGUAAAACCAACAUUGAGAAAGCAAACAACAAGGAAAGAAGCAAAUGGCAAUAAAGAUCAAAAUUGAGAAUCGAAACGACCCAGGUCAGCCAGAGACACGCCCACUAUGACCAACAAGGACUCCCCAUGGCGACCACGGACUUCCACGUGCCCAUCUUUUUCUUUUUUGUUUGUUUGUUUGCUCUACACACAGAGAGAGAGAGAGAGGAGGGGGGGGGGGGGGGAUACAAAAGCUAUUGAUUAGUGUUGAUA